rnacentral:rRNA from 1 species
AAAGUGUGGGUAUCAAACAGGAUUAGAUACCCUGGUAGUCCACACAGUAAACGAUGAAUACUCGCUGUUUGCGAUAUACAGUAAGCGGCCAAGCGAAAGCAUUAAGUAUUCCACCUGGGGAGUACGCCGGCAACGGUGAAACUCAAAGGAAUUGACGGGGGCCCGCACAAGCGGAGGAACAUGUGGUUUAAUUCGAUGAUACGCGAGGAACCUUACCCGGGCUUAAAUUGCAUUUGAAUAAUCUGGAAACAGGUUAGCCGCAAGGCAAAUGUGAAGGUGCUGCAUGGUUGUCGUCAGCUCGUGCCGUGAGGUGUCGGCUUAAGUGCCAUAACGAGCGCAACCCUUAUCUUUAGUUACUAACAGGUCAUGCUGAGGACUCUAGAGAGACUGCCGUCGUAAGAUGUGAGGAAGGUGGGGAUGACGUCAAAUCAGCACGGCCCUUACGUCCGGGGCUACACACGUGUUACAAUGGGGGGUACAGAAGGCAGCUACCUGGCGACAGGAUGCUAAUCCCAAAAACCUCUCUCAGUUCGGAUCGAAGUCUGCAACCCGACUUCGUGAAGCUGGAUUCGCUAGUAAUCGCGCAUCAGCCAUGGCGCGGUGAAUACGUUCCCGGGCCUUGUACACACCGCCCGUCAAGCCAUG